ACACCUGUAUGUGACCCAUUUUGUAAGUGUGAAGAAUGCAAGGCUGAGGUACCAACCUACCAUGCUGAGGAUGGCAGAGAAGAAAGAAAGAAACCUAGGGGACUGGAUGGUUUUCGUGAGCCACUGGACUAACUAACCCUGGAACAACGCCACCUCAGGACUUCAGCAUUAUAGCUCUACCCUAAAGAAGAAGCAUGUCUACUUGAGGUUCUGAGAAUCCUCUCCUGGUGCCAGAAAUAGGAAGGGGAGACCAUUUUUGGAAUGAAAUGAGGGAGCCCUGAAUCCUUUGGAUUCCUCAAAAAAUGGUUCUAGACCACCUUCCUAUGUUUGAGGAAAUCCCUACCCUAUGAGUUUUGGGAAAGAACAGAGCCUACCUUCUAGCAUGGAAGCUGAAGGUGGAAGAUACGCGUUUUCCAAGCCUUGCUUGCAGGUUAUGUCAAAGUUAUGACAGCUUUUCCAGCCUGCCAAUGGAUCCAGCGGCAGAAGGACUGGCAAUCUGUUUCUCAAAGUCAUCUGUCCACAUGAGAUCCUCAGAGACAUCCAUCAUGCCACCUGGUCCUUAGUUACAAUCCAUACGGGUCAUAGCUAAGU